rnacentral:rRNA from 1 species
GACGAACGCUGGCGGCGUGCUUAACACAUGCAAGUCGAACGAUGAAGAAGAGCUUGCUCUUCGGAUUAGUGGCGAACGGGUGAGUAACACGUGACUAACCUGCCCCUUUCUCUGGGAUAACGCUCCGAAAGGAGUGCUAAUACCGGAUACUCACAUCGAGGCACAUGCCUUGAUGUGGAAAGUUUUUCGGAAAGGGAUGGAGUCGCGGCCUAUCAGCUUGUUGGUGAGGUAACGGCUCACCAAGGCGACGACGGGUAGCCGGCCUGAGAGGGCGACCGGCCACACUGGGACUGAGACACGGCCCAGACUCCUACGGGAGGCAGCAGUGGGGAAUAUUGCACAAUGGGCGAAAGCCUGAUGCAGCGACGCCGCGUGAGGGAUGAAGGUCUUCGGAUUGUAAACCUCUUUCAGUAGGGACGAAGCGAAAGUGACGGUACCUAAAGAAGAAGCACCGGCUAACUACGUGCCAGCCGCCGCGGUAACAC